ensembl:lncRNA
CACACACACACACACACACACCACCACCCACCAGACUGCCCUUUGUUAAAAAUGUGCUUUAUCAGAAUAACUCAAUGAUAGCAUGUGUCUAACAUAAACAAUGUGAGCAGCUCUGUAGGUAGAGACUGUAUAGAGCUCUGUAGGUAGAGACUGUAUAGAGCUCUGUAGGUAGAGACUGUAUAGAGCUCUGUAGAGACUGUAUAGAGCUCUGUAGAGACUGUAGAGCUCUGUAGGUAGAGACUGUGUAGAGCUCUGUAGGUAGAGACUGUGUAGAGCUCUGUAGAGACUGUAGAGCUCUGUAGGUAGAGACUGUGUAGAGCUCUGUAGGUAGAGACUGUAUAGAGCUCUGUAGGUAGAGACUGUGUAGAGCUCUGUAGAGACUGUAUAGAGCUCUGUAGGUAGAGACUCUAUAGAGCUCUGCUGAGACUGUAUAGAG